rnacentral:rRNA from 1 species
UACGUAGGUGACAAGCGUUGUCCGGAUUUACUGGGCGUAAAGAGCGCGCAGGCGGUCGUUCAAGUCGAGUGUGAAAGCCCCCGGCUCAACUGGGGAGGGUCACUCGAUACUGAUCGACUCGAAGGCAGGAGAGGGAAGUGGAAUUCCCGGUGUAGUGGUGAAAUGCGUAGAUAUUGGGAGGAACACCAGUGGCGAAGGCGACUUCCUGGCCUGUUCUUGACGCUGAGGCGCGAAAGCUAGGGGAGCAAACGGG